rnacentral:rRNA from 1 species
GAUGAACGCUGGCGGCGUGCCUAAUACAUGCAAGUCGAGCGAACAGACGAGGAGCUUGCUCCUCUGACGUUAGCGGCGGACGGGUGAGUAACAAGUGGAUAACCUACCUAUAAGACUGGGAUAACUUCGGGAAACCGGAGCUAAUACCGGAUAAUAUAUUGAACCGCAUGGUGCAAUAGUGAAAGACGGUUUUGCUGUCACUUAUAGAUGGAUCCGCGCCGCAUUAGCUAGUUGGUAAGGUAACGGCUUACCAAGGCGACGAUGCGUAGCCGACCUGAGAGGGUGAUCGGCCACACUGGAACUGAGACACGGUCCAGACUCCUACGGGAGGCAGCAGUAGGGAAUCUUCCGCAAUGGGCGAAAGCCUGACGGAGCAACGCCGCGUGAGUGAUGAAGGUCUUCGGAUCGUAAAACUCUGUUAUUAGGGAAGAACAAAUGUGUAAGUAACUAUGCACGUCUUGACGGUACCUAAUCAGAAAGCCACGGCUAACUACGUG